UACGUAGGGUGCAAGCGUUAAUCGGAAUUACUGGGCGUAAAGCGUGCGCAGGCGGUGAUGUAAGACAGAUGUGAAAUCCCCGGGCUCAACCUGGGAACUGCAUUUGUGACUGGCAGGCUAGAGUAUGGCAGAGGGGGGUAGAAUUCCACGUGUAGCAGUGAAAUGCGUAGAGAUGUGGAGGAAUACCGAUGGCGAAGGCAGCCCCCUGGGCCAAUACUGACGCUCAUGCACGAAAGCGUGGGGAGCAAACAGG
rnacentral:rRNA from 1 species